GACGAUCGGUGGAUUGACGGUCACCCCGGGUUCUGCCAUGCUUCGAGCCAUCCAGUCGGUGGGGGAAGUCCGGUCGAAGUCCGGCGCUGACCCGCAACGGUAGGCGCGCCAUCAGUGGCGCGCGAGCCCGAGUACCCGUUGACUGGCCGCCCCCUUG
rnacentral:ncRNA from 2 species